UACGGGGGGGGGCAAGCGUUGUUCGGAAUUACUGGGCGUAAAGGGCUCGUAGGCGGCCAACUAAGUCAGACGUGAAAUCCCUCGGCUUAACCGGGGAACUGCGUCUGAUACUGGAUGGCUUGAGGUUGGGAGAGGGAUGCGGAAUUCCAGGUGUAGCGGUGAAAUGCGCAGAUAUCAGGAGGAACACCGAUGGCGAAGGCACUUUAUUGGGCUAUUACUAACACUCAGAGACGAAAGCUAGGGUAGCAAAUGGG
rnacentral:rRNA from 1 species